rnacentral:rRNA from 1 species
GAUGAACGCUGGCGGCGUGCCUAAUACAUGCAAGUCGAGCGAACAGACGAGGAGCUUGCUCCUCUGACGUUAGCGGCGGACGGGUGAGUAACACGUGGAUAACCUACCUAUAAGACUGGGAUAACUUCGGGAAACCGGAGCUAAUACCGGAUAAUAUAUUGAACCGCAUGGUUCAAUAGUGAAAGACGGCUUUGCUGUCACUUCUAGAUGGAUCCGCGCCGCAUUAGCUAGUUGGUAAGGUAACGGCUUACCAAGGCAACGAUGCGUAGCCGACCUGAGAGGGUGAUCGGCCACACUGGAACUGAGACACGGUCCAGACUCCUACGGGAGGCAGCAGUAGGGAAUCUUCCGCAAUGGGCGAAAGCCUGACGGAGCAACGCCGCGUGAGUGAUGAAGGUCUUCGGAUCGUAAAACUCUGUUAUUAGGGAAGAACAAAUGUGUAAGUAACUAUGCACGUCUUGACGGUACCUAAUCAGAAAGCCACGGCUAACUACGUG